UGGUAGCACAUACCAGUAUACUAAAAUUGGAACGAUACAGAGAAGAUUAGCAUGGCCCCUGGCGCAAGGAUGACACACAAAUUUGUGAAGCCUUCCUCAUUUUU